rnacentral:rRNA from 1 species
AGAGUUUGAUCCUGGCUCAGAACGAGCGCUGGCGGCACGCUUAACACAUGCAAGUCGGACGCGCUAGUAAUAGCGAGUGGCGAACGGGUGAGUAAUGUAUAGGAACUUGCCCUCUGGUGGGGAAUAACUACGGGAAACUGUGGCUAAUACCGCAUAAGCUCGGAGACGAGGAAAGAUUUAUCGCCAGGGGAUAGGCCUAUAUCAGAUUAGGUAGUUGGUGGGGUAAUGGCCUACCAAGCCUUUGAUCUGUAGCUGGUCUGAGAGGACGGACAGCCACACUGGGAUUGAGAUACGGCCCAGACUCCUACGGGAGGCAGCAGUGGGGAAUAUUGGACAAUGGGGGAAACCCUGAUCCAGCGAUGCCGCGUGAAUGAAGAAGGCCUUCGGGUUGUAAAAUUCUUUCACUCGUGAAGAUGAUGACGGUAGCGAGAAAAGAAGCUCCGGCUAACUCUGUGCCAGCAGCCGCGGUAAGACAGAGGGAGCUAGCGUUGUUCGGAAUGAUUGGGCGUAAAGGGUGCGUAGGCGGUUGUUUAAGUAAGGUGUUAAAGCCCCAGGCUCAACCUGGGAAUUGCGCCUUAUACUGGACGGCUAGAGUUUGAUAGAGGAAAGUGGAACUCCUAGUGUAGAGGUGGAAUUCGUAGAUAUUAGGAAGAACACCAGAGGCGAAGGCGGCUUUCUGGGUCAUAACUGACGCUGAGGCACGAAAGCGUGGGGAGCAAACAGGAUUAGAUACCCUGGUAGUCCACGCCCUAAACGAUGAGUACUAGACGUUGGAUUUAUUCAGUGUCGCAGCUAACGCGUUAAGUACUCCGCCUGGGGAUUACGGUCGCAAGACUAAAACUUAAAGGAAUUGACGGGGGCCCGCACAAGCGGUGGAGCAUGUGGUUUAAUUCGUUGCUACGCGAAAAACCUUACCGGUUCCUGACAUAGGAAUAGAGGGAUUUGGAAACAAGUUCCGCAUUUAGUUGGAUUCUAUACAGGUGUUGCAUGGCUGUCGUCAGUUCGUGUCGUGAGAUGUUGGGUUAAGUCCCGCAACGAACGCAACCCUUGUCCUUAGUUGCUAACAGGUGAAGCUGAGAACUUUAAGGAGACUGCCGGUGAUAAGCCGGAGGAAGGUGGGGAUGACGUCAAGUCCUCAUGGCCCUUAUGGACCGGGCUACACACGUGCUACAAUGGUGGUGACAAAGGGGAGCGAAGGGGUGACCUGGAGCAAAUCCUAAAAAGCCAUCUAAGUUCGGAUUGUUCUCUGCAACUCGAGUACAUGAAGUUGAAAUCGCUAGUAAUCGUGGAUCAGCACGCCACGGUGAAUACGUUCACGGGCCUUGUACACACCGCCCGUCAGGCCAUGAGAGUUGGUUCUGCCUGAAGCCGGUUUACUGACCCUUUUUUGGGGGGUAGCCGUCUACGGUAGGGUUGAUGAUUGAGGUUAAGUCGUAACAAGGUA